AACGAACGCUGGCGGCAUGCCUAACACAUGCAAGUCGAACGAGACCUUCGGGUCUAGUGGCGCACGGGUGCGUAACGCGUGGGAACCUGCCCUUAGGUUCGGAAUAACUCCCCGAAAGGGGUGCUAAUACCGGAUAAUGUCUACGGACCAAAGAUUUAUCGCCUUUGGAUGGGCCCGCGUUGGAUUAGCUAGUUGGUAGGGUAAAAGCCUACCAAGGCGACGAUCCAUAGCUGGUCUGAGAGGAUGAUCAGCCACACUGGGACUGAGACACGGCCCAGACUCCUACGGGAGGCAGCAGUGGGGAAUAUUGGACAAUGGGCGAAAGCCUGAUCCAGCAAUGCCGCGUGAGUGAUGAAGGCCUUAGGGUUGUAAAGCUCUUUUACCCGGGAUGAUAAUGACAGUACCGGGAGAAUAAGCGCCGGCUAACUCCGUG
rnacentral:rRNA from 1 species